GGCUACCUGCAGUCGGACGGUAGCACAGAGGAGCUUGCUCCUCGGGUGACGAGUGGCGGACGGGUGAGUAAUGUCUGGGGAUCUGCCCGAUAGAGGGGGAUAACCACUGGAAACGGUGGCUAAUACCGCAUAACGUCGCAAGACCAAAGAGGGGGACCUUCGGGCCUCUCACUAUCGGAUGAACCCAGAUGGGAUUAGCUAGUAGGCGGGGUAAUGGCCCACCUAGGCGACGAUCCCUAGCUGGUCUGAGAGGAUGACCAGCCACACUGGAACUGAGACACGGUCCAGACUCCUACGGGAGGCAGCAGUGGGGAAUAUUGCACAAUGGGCGCAAGCCUGAUGCAGCCAUGCCGCGUGUAUGAAGAAGGCCUUCGGGUUGUAAAGUACUUUCAGCGGGGAGGAAGGCGGUGAGGUUAAUA
rnacentral:rRNA from 1 species